UUCAAUACAGUGGAUAUAGAGUUGGCUAGAUGGGAAGAAACAAAACAAGGGGAAAUAAUCAUGAUUGUUACAGUCGCGGGUUUUGUGGGGGUGAAGGUGAAGACACAGCUUUUGUAGUUUCUAUUCUGAGCAAAGUCCAAAGCCGCUGUAGACACAGCUGAUAACUCUCCAGUGGACAUGUUUAUUGAAACUUCCAGGCA